rnacentral:lncRNA from 1 species
AUAAAUAAUAUAAAUCAAUCAGAAAUAACACAUGGACCAUCCACAGUCACAAGAUCUGAUCACUUAAAGUAAGUAUGCAAAAUGGAAGGCUCUGAUCCUAAGAAAUACAAACGCGCGCGUUGACUUGCAAACACACACACGCACACCCAGAAGCUAGGUCAAACACAACAACUAAUGAAAAUAAGGCAACACAUUUUUU